rnacentral:rRNA from 1 species
CGCUCGUCUCAAAGAUUAAGCCAUGCAUGUGUAAGUAUAAAUAAUUUUACUUUGAAACUGCGAAUGGCUCAUUAUAUCAGUUAUAGUUUAUUAGAAAUACUUUACUACUUGGAUAACCGUAGUAAUUCUAGGGCUAAUACAUGACUAAAUCCUCAACUUCGGAAGAGGUGUGUUUAUUAGUAUGAAAACCAUAUAUCUUCGGAUAUAAUAGUGAGUAAUAAUAACCUUUCGUAUCGUAUGUCGUAAGAUAACGAUAGUUCUUUCAAGUUUCUGCCCUAUCAGCUUUCGAUGGUAGUAUAUGGGACUACCAUGGCAGUAACGGGUAACGAAGAAUUUGGGUUCGAUUUCGGAGAGGGAGCCUGAGAGAUGGCUACCACAUCCAAGGAAGGCAGCAGGCGCGUAAAUUACCCAAUCCUGACAUAGGGAGGUAGUGACAAUAAAUCACAAUGCGGAACUAUUU